rnacentral:rRNA from 1 species
AGAGUUUGAUCCUGGCUCAGGAUGAACGCUAGCGGCAGGCUUAAUACAUGCAAGUCGAGGGGCAGCGGGUCCUUUCGGGGAUGCCGGCGACCGGCGAACGGGUGAGUAACACGUAUGGAACCUACCUUUAACUGGGGAAUAGCCCCGAGAAAUCGGAGUUAAUACCCCAUAUAAUAAUGAAGGGACAUCCCUUUAUUAUGAAAGCUCCGGCGGUUAAAGAUGGCCAUGCGGUCCAUUAGCUUGUUGGUGAGAUAAAGGCUCACCAAGGCCACUAUGGAUAGCUGAUCUGAGAGGAUGAUCAGCCACAUUGGCACUGAGACACGGGCCAAACUCCUACGGGAGGCAGCAGUAGGGAAUCUUGGUCAAUAGGCGAAAGCCUGAACCAGCCAUGCCGCGUGCAGGAUGAAGGCCCUACGGGUCGUAAACUGCUUUUAUUCGGGAAGAAAAAGACUGUAUCCACAGUCCUUGACGGUACCGAAUGAAUAAGGACCGGCCAACUCCGUGCCAGCAGCCGCGGUAAUACGGAGGGUCCAAGCGUUAUCCGGAUUCACUGGGUUUAAAGGGUGCGCAGGCGGUCAGGUAAGUCAGUGGUGAAAGCCUUCGGCUCAACCGGAGAAUUGCCAUUGAAACUACUUGACUUGAGUGUAGUAGAGGUGGGCGGAAUGUAGCAUGUAGCGGUGAAUUGCAUAGAUAUGCUACAGAACACCGAUAGCGAAAGCAGCUCACCAUACUACGACUGACGCUGAGGCACGAAAGCAUGGGUAGCCAACAGGAUUAGAUACCCUGGUAGUC